GAGCUCCAUCACAUCCCUUCAGCUUCUUCAGGUCCUCAUGGCCUCACACUAUGGUCCCCAGGCUAGUCUUGAGUUCCUGGGUCAAGGGAUCCUCCUGCUUCAGCCUCCUGGGUGCUGGUAGGACAGUCAUGCACCAUUACACUGGGCUACUUCUGCGUAUUCUGUUGGCCUUGACAACAGAAGGAGCCACACAGAGAGGGCCACAAGCACAGAAGCCCAUACAUCUGGAAAUCAAUCUUGAUUCUUCCUUCCGGUAAAAACCACGACCCUAGACAUCAGAUACAAAGCCUGAUGACCCAGCCAGUGGCUGUUGCGCUCACCAGCUCCAUGCUGAAUCCUCUUCCUAGCUACAGUGUAUCAGCACAGUUCCCAGGUCCUUUCCAGCCUUAGAUCCCAGAGACCAGUUUCACCACUUCCCUGCAGACUGACAUUUGAUGGGGAUGAGGGAUAAGAGAGGACCCAGUGCAACCUGCCCUGCAAUAAACCCAAGCUCUUCUCCUCUGCUUCCUGGUUAUGACUGAUAUGGGAAGGCCAAGUGGAAACAUCCUGCUAGUGGCUGAUUGGAUUUGAAAAGUCCCAAGAAAAGCCCCUCACCCUUGCAUUCCACCAUUUAGUCUCCUCUGUCUCCCAUGUUCUUAUUCAUGUUGGAGAGAUCCUCUUUCAGUGUGGACAGGAUUAAAUUUGGAGAAGCUCUGGCCCAAGAUGUUUCCACCCUCUGCUUGGCCUGAGAGUUCUCUUUAAGGUCAUCAAGUGCCAUGCUCUAGGCUUUGGGCCCACCCCUCCCACAGCUGGGUAAGGACAUAACCCCUCCUGCCCCCCACUUUCUUACUAGGACCCUGGUCAUUCUUUGGAACUGGAAAAGAUAGCAACAAAACCUACAGCAACACCCUCUGUAGAGCACAGGUCUCUACAACCUCUCCAUUUCUUGUGUCUACAAAAAGGAGCCAGUCACACCCACCACUCUGGAUGCCACAGGUUAAGCAGCAGAAGUCAACAGGUCUCCUAGGAAGGCCCCCAUCACUUGGGGAAGCAAUCCCCACUAGGCCAGGUCCAGACACAAACACACACACACACACACACACACACACAAGGACACUGCCUCACCCACUGAGGCCCAGAAGAAGGAUAAGUUACCCCUGCCCUUCUGCACCAGCCAAGGCUCUAGGACCACACAGAGCAUCCCCCUUCCAGCUAAGGGCCAGCUCCCAGUCUUGAAAAACCUGUCUGGGACCCCUCCCUCAGGCUAUGGGGCCCCUGGGGCAGGUUUGACUGGAUUCUCCUCCAGCUCCUCCCACCCCCAGGACAAAACCAGCUAUC